GUAUAGUUAAGUGACUAAGCGUACAAGGUGGAUGCCUUGGCAAUCAGAGGCGAAGAAGGACGUGCUAAUCUGCGAAAAGCUUGGAUGAGUCGAUAAGAGGCGUUUAAUCCAAGAUAUCCGAAUGGGGAAACCCAGUAGAUGAAGAAUCUACUAUCAACAAGUGAAUUCAUAGCUUGUUGAGGCAAACCGGGAGAACUGAAACAUCUAAGUACCCCGAGGAAAAGAAAUCAACCGAGAUUUCGUCAGUAGUGGCGAGCGAAAGCGAAAGAGCCAGUAAGUGAUAGCAGUAUAGUUAGGAGAAUGUGUUGGGAAGCACAAUCAAAGAGGGUGAUAAUCCCGUAUCUAAAAACUAUAUUGUGGUACUAAGCUAACGAGAAGUAGGGCGGGACACGUGAUAUCCUGUUUGAAGAAGGGGGGCCCAUCCUCCAAGGCUAAAUACUCCUGAUUGACCGAUAGUGAACCAGUACUGUGAAGGAAAGGCGAAAAGAACCCCGGUGAGGGGAGUGAAAUAGAACCUGAAACCUUGUACGUACAAGCAGUGGGAGCGAGGGCAACCUUGUGACUGCGUACCUUUUGUAUAAUGGGUCAGCGACUUAUAUUUUGUAGCGAGGUUAACCGAAUAGGGGAGCCGAAGGGAAACCGAGUCUUAACUGGGCGAAUAGUUGCAAGGUAUAGACCCGAAACCCGGUGAUCUAGCCAUGGGCAGGUUGAAGGUUGGGUAACACUAACUGGAGGACCGAACCGACUAAUGUUGAAAAAUUAGCGGAUGACUUGUGGCUGGGGGUGAAAGGCCAAUCAAACCGGGAGAUAGCUGGUUCUCCCCGAAAUCUAUUUAGGUAGAGCCUUGAGGUGACACCUUUGGGGGUAGAGCACUGUUUCGGCUAGGGGUCCAUCCCGGAUUACCAACCCGAUGCAAACUACGAAUACCAAAGAGUGAUACUCAGGAGACACACGGCGGGUGCUAACGUCCGUCGUGGAGAGGGAAACAACCCAGACCGCCAGCUAAGGUCCCCAAGUCUAUAUUAAGUGGGAAACGAAGUGGGAAGGCUUAGACAGCUAGGAUGUUGGCUUAGAAGCAGCCAUCAUUUAAAGAAAGCGUAAUAGCUCACUAGUCGAGUCGGCCUGCGCGGAAGAUGUAACGGGGCUGAAAUAUAGCACCGAAGCUGCGGCAUCAGAAUUUAUUCUGUUGGGUAGGGGAGCGUUGUGUAAGCGGAAGAAGGUUGAUCGAGAGGUGGGCUGGACGUAUCACAAGUGCGAAUGCUGACAUAAGUAACGAUAAAACGGGUGAAAAACCCGUUCGCCGGAAGACCAAGGGUUCCUGUCCAACGUUAAUCGGGGCAGGGUGAGUCGGCUCCUAAGGCGAGGCUGAAAAGCGUAGUCGAUGGGAAACAGGUUAAUAUUCCUGUACUUGGUAAAGCUGCGAUGUGGGGACGGAGUAGGUUAGGUUAUCGCACUGUUGGAUAUGUGCGUUUAAGUUGGUAGGUGGGAAGUUUAGGCAAAUCCGGACUUCCUUAACACAGAGAGAUGAUGACGAGGCUCUACGGAGCUGAAGUAACUGAUACCACACUUCCAGGAAAAGCCACUAAGCGAAAGGCUUUACUAAACCGUACUGAAAACCGACACAGGUGGUCAGGUAGAGAAUACUCAGGCGCUUGAGAGAACUCGGGUGAAGGAACUAGGCAAAAUAGCACCGUAACUUCGGGAGAAGGUGCGCCGGCGUAGAUUGUAAGGGCUAGCCCCUGAAGGUUGAACCGGUCGAAGAUACCAGCUGGCUGCAACUGUUUAUUAAAAACACAGCACUCUGCAAACACGAAAGUGGAGGUAUAGGGUGUGAUGCCUGCCCGGUGCUGGAAGGUUAAUUGAUGGUGUCAUCGAAAGAGAAGCACCUGAUCGAAGCCCCAGUAAACGGCGGCCGUAACUAUAACGGUCCUAAGGUAGCGAAAUUCCUUGUCGGGUAAGUUCCGACCUGCACGAAUGGCAUAAUGAUGGCCAGGCUGUCUCCACCCGAGACUCAGUGAAAUUGAAAUCGCCGUGAAGAUGCGGUGUACCCGCGGCUAGACGGAAAGACCCCGUGAACCUUUACUAUAGCUUGACACUGAACAUUGAAUUUUGAUGUGUAGGAUAGGUGGGAGACUUAGAAGCAGUCACGCCAGUGAUUGUGGAGUCAUCCUUGAAAUACCACCCUUUAACGUUUGAUGUUCUAACGAAGAUUGCGGAACGCGGUCUCGGACAGUGUCUGGUGGGUAGUUUGACUGGGGCGGUCUCCUCCCAAAGCGUAACGGAGGAGCACGAAGGUUUGCUAAUCACGGUCGGACAUCGUGAGGUUAGUGCAAUGGUAUAAGCAAGCUUAACUGCGAGACAGACAAGUCGAGCAGGUACGAAAGUAGGUCAUAGUGAUCCGGUGGUUCUGAAUGGAAGGGCCAUCGCUCAACGGAUAAAAGGUACUCCGGGGAUAACAGGCUGAUACCGCCCAAGAGUUCAUAUCGACGGCGGUGUUUGGCACCUCGAUGUCGGCUCAUCACAUCCUGGGGCUGAAGUAGGUCCCAAGGGUAUGGCUGUUCGCCAUUUAAAGUGGUACGCGAGCUGGGUUUAGAACGUCGUGAGACAGUUCGGUCCCUAUCUGCCGUGGGCGUAGGAGAAUUGGUUGGGGCUGCUCCUAGUACGAGAGGACCGGAGUGGACGCACCACUGGUGUUCCGGUUGUGUCGCCAGACGCAUUGCCGGGUAGCUAAGUGCGGAAGAGAUAAGUGCUGAAAGCAUCUAAGCACGAAACUUGCCAAGAGAUGAGUUCUCCCAAUCUAAGAGAUAGUAAGGGUUGUUGUAGACUACGACGUAGAUAGGUCUGGUGUGUAAGUGUAGUGAUACAUUGAGCUAACAGAUACUAAUUGCCCGAGAGGCUUA
rnacentral:rRNA from 1 species